rnacentral:rRNA from 1 species
UACGUAGGGUGCGAGCGUUAAUCGGAAUUACUGGGCGUAAAGCGUGCGCAGGCGGCUUGGCAAGACAGAUGUGAAAUCCCCGGGCUCAACCUGGGAACUGCAUUUGUGACUGCAAGGCUAGAGUACGGCAGAGGGGGAUGGAAUUCCGCGUGUAGCAGUGAAAUGCGUAGAUAUGCGGAGGAACACCAAUGGCGAAGGCAAUCCCCUGGGCCUGUACUGACGAUCAUGCACGAAAGCGUGGGGAGCAAACAGG